AGGUGCCUGAUUAGGGCAGCCAUUUUGAGGCUUAGGCUGCUUAUCUAAACAAGGCAGUUUGGCUGCAGGAAGGCAGGCAGCAAUAUUGCCUGGCUGUAGGGCUGCUGUGAACGAUCCAGAGAGCAUGUGGACACUGCGACAUGCAGGGAGACGAACUGUGUGUGCCUAUACUAAUGAAAGUGGAUCAAAUACAGAGACGAACAUUCACCUUCUGUGAAGCUAUGCCAGUAUAGACCCACAGAAGAACUGGCCCAUGGACUAUCUGAACAAAACAUAUAAGAAUUAAAGGUACUAGGUGGCUCGUGAAUGCUGAGAUGCUGGGGCGGAUGGAGCGUGUCACAGGAGUGCUGGGCAGUACCCAGCAUGCUCAGCAGCAGAUCCAGAAGUAGACCAGAAGCACUUCCAGGUCCGCUGGGGAGUGCAGUGGGCCCCCCAUCCCGUACCACUUCGGCUCGGCGACUGGUGCCUCCUGGGUCUGGGGGGUGCACCCAACUAUAUUUAGACCUUGCAAAUUGAGCCAAUUUACAAGUUUGUGUCUUUCUCUCAUUUUGAUAAGCUAUAACAGAAAACUUUUCUGACAGCUAUCGUUCAGUGUAUGUAUUAGCUUCAAAGGAAAUGCACAUUUCUUUAUAAACCUACAUAUGAAAUAUAGGUUCCCAGAUCUGGUUGCACAAUCAUUUAUCACCAGCCUGAAUACUCCAACAACAGAGUGGUCUGCAUUCCAAGUACCUUGUUAGCAGAGUAGCUUAGAGACAUCCACAGGAACAUAUGUUAUUGUCACUUGUGAGAACUAGGCAACAGUGGGAUCCAGAAAUGGUGUCCUACCAAAAAACCUCAAACAAACCCAAAGGAUUUUCUAUCCUUUUCCUGUGCCUACUACUGUUACUGAAAAAAAAAAAUAUGAAAAAAAAUGAAACAAUUUACCAUCAUCCUCAAGCUUUGAGUGAAUUAGUGCUGACUGCACAGAGGUUAUUAGCUAACUUUAGUGAGAGGCAGUGGAAUGAAGAGUACCCUUGAGAGAAAAAUCAUAAAAUAAAGUUUGUAUUACAAAAAGCCAAGACUGCAGAGCUGUCCAAAGGAAAAAUAUCUCAUACAGAAGUGGCCAGAUGCCUUUGCGUUAUGAAAUUAACACAUUCACACACAGUGAAAAAUCUCCCAAUAUUUAUGUCCUAAGAAAAUAUUUAAAGAAGUGGUCUAAAGACAGUGUCAUCCACAGCAUGCCCCAUGAAGUUUCUGGCAAUAGUGACAAGACCUACAAAUGUUUCAGAAUGAAUGGCAAAUCUGAGACAUAAGAGGAGAAGAAAAACACUGAACAAUCACUUUUGGCUUUACGUAGUUCUGGAUGGAUGGAUGGAUGGAUGGAAUUAUCAACAUCUCUUCUACUGGAUAUGGCUUUAUCAGCCAUGAUAUUCAAUGAGGACCAAGGGAGGCCAGCUUCUGAACAAUCAUAGCAGGCACAGAAACAAUAUAUAUAUAUCUUUGCUAUGUUGAGGAAGUUACAUCUCAGCUUUCCUUUCCUGAAGCAUGCUUGAAUUGUUUAAUACUCAUGAACCUUGUGUGGCUAAUAUGAGCAUCCAAAAAGCAUCCUCAUUGAAUUUUUGCAACCUGCACAAUCACUGUGUAAGGUAUAUUAAUUGUAGACUUUUUUUUAACCUGAUUUGGGAAGUAAGCACACACCAUCAACAAUUUUGUACUGUCAAGUUAUUACAGCUUCACAUCAAAAUAGUUAAAAGUGGUCAAAUUAAUCUAUUCUAUUCAGCUGCCAAAAUGUCUGCAGCAGGACAUCAUUGUGCAGAACAUCAUUGUGCAGUAUUUACAACUUGGCCAUCAAACAAUAUUCUAUUAAUGUCCUACUCUUUUUCUGGGGCAAUGUCUUUUUAAUUCCCUAUAAAAUCCUACAUCAACUUGAAAGCCCAUAUGAAGAUAUCAGAGACCCCAGUGAGCUCACUUUUGUCCACAAAAAAGGAGACUCCUAGGGCACGUCCAUACAUGCAGGCACAUGUACUUGCAGCAGCUCAAAUAGAAACGGCGCAAAUCUGAGCUGAGGCUUUUUGCCUCAGUGCUUGUGCCUGAACAUGCACUUUGGUGUGGUGAAAGUUGUGCCAUUUGAGGCAAAAUAACCCUGCCUGGCUCCUCCUGGAUCUGUAGUUAGGGGGAGCUGAAAGCUGGGGCCAGCACCUGUGCUGGCCCCAGCAGUGUAAAAAGCUGCCCUAUCCUGGCCCCAGCAGUACAAAAAGCUGCCCUGGCAAGUAGUUCAGGGCUACUCACUCUUAGGAGCUUAUUGGGCCCAGCCAAUUGGUACCUGGGGACACUACCCCUUGUGCCAGCUGCACUGCUGGAGCAACCCUGAGAGUUCCCUGCACCCUUUACCCAGUAUAGCAGUCUGGCUGUGGGGGCUGCUGCCUGGCUGUGACCUGCUGUGCACCUUUCAGACUCAGAUGGGGCCUGCACAGUCAGUAGAGGCAUCUGCCCUCUGGGCCAGCUGCCAGUGGGC